GGGCCCGCACAAGCAGUGGAGUAUGUGGUUUAAUUCGAAGCAACGCGAAAAACCUUACCAGGUCUUGACAUCGCGUGUAAGCGCUAGAGAUAGCGCCCUCCCUUCGGGGACACAAAGACAGGUGGUGCAUGGUUGUCGUCAGCUCGUGUCGUGAGAUGUUGGGUUAAGUCCCGCAACGAGCGCAACCCUUGCUGUUAGUUGCUACAUUUAGUUGAGCACUCUAGCAGGACUGCCGUUGACAAAACGGAGGAAGGUGGGGACGACGUCAAAUCAUCAUGCCCCUUAUGACCUGGGCUACACACGUACUACAAUGGCCGUAAACAGAGGGUAGCAAAGCCGCAAGGUGGAGCUAACCCCAAAAGCGGUCUCAGUUCAGAUUGCAGGCUGCAACUCGCCUGCAUGAAGUCGGAAUUGCUAGUAAUCGCGGAUCAGCAUGCCG
rnacentral:rRNA from 1 species